rnacentral:rRNA from 1 species
UACGGAGGAUCCGAGCGUUAUCCGGAUUUAUUGGGUUUAAAGGGUGCGCAGGCGGGAAAUUAAGUCGGCGGUGAAAUUUUGCGGCUCAACCGUAAAAGUGCCUUCGAUACUGGUUUUCUUGAGUGUAGCUGAAGUAGGCGGAAUUUGUGGUGUAGCGGUGAAAUGCAUAGAUAUCACGAGGAACUCCGAUUGCGCAGGCAGCUUACUAAACCAUAACUGACGCUCAGGCACGAAGGCGUGGGGAUCAAACAGGAUUAGAUACCCGCGUAGUCCCUGA